CAAGGAUAAAAUAUUUUUGUCUUUGAUAGAUGGAUCGAUGACGGACGACUAACAGCAAAUGGAUUCGAUAUCUGUUUAAAAAACGAUGUUGAAAGUGGACAGACCAAAGUGGAGUUACAUGGAAUAUCUACUAGCAUACCCUUUUAUGGAGUGCCAGAUUUAGUAGAAGUUCUCGAGCUUAUUUGUGAAAAGGACGGCGGCGAUUCCAAUUCUCUGUCAAAGUGCCGACCUUUUAAAGUUAUCCACUAUCUCCAGGGUGAAGCGGUUCGCGUUGCUCGUUCGCUCAGUUCCCGGAUGAACAGAAGUGAAGUGGACGAGCUACUAUCUCGGAUGGACAAAGAAAUUCCUCUGGAUUUGAGAAAAUGUGUGCAUGAUCGUCCAUUUUUUUUAACAAUCGCGCAAAUCCCGGAAUGAAACAAAUUGUUUUAAGAGAAAUCAUUCUAGUCUUUCAACAGUAAACUAUGUCUGCGCUUGUUUCUUUUGAGGAAAGCAGCCAUACAUGUAGAAACAAAAGACACAUACGAUGGUGUAGUUUAAUCGUCCGGGUGACAGUGGCCCCAAAAAGGACUUCUGUUGGUAGUGGUGACUGACGUGUCGGCAACCGUAACGGAAGUAAUCAUCACCAGAGUCGAUUGAAGAGUUGUUGUCAGUCGAGUGUGAUGCGUCCAGUUCGUGUGAACGGGAUAGUCAGUUUAGCCGUAAUGUUAUUGGCUAUAAGAUUCAAGUGGUGUAAGUCGGUCGAGAUUGGUAUAAUGAGGUCGUUCUGUUCGGUUCGCUGCUUGAAUACAUGUCGUGAAUACCGUGCAAGUAGUUUGAAUAGUGCCGGUAGUGACACCUGUCGAGGGGGAGUCUGUUCUUAGUUACUGAACCAGCUUUCCAGAGUCAUUCGUUGAAAGACGCGAGUGCUGUAGGCUGUAGGCUAAGCAUUACGCAGAGUCUCAGUUAAUAGCGGUGAAUCGACAUCAAUAUUUCUAUUCUCUCGUUUGUCUUCAGUCAGUCUUAUUGUGAGGUUCCUUCCAUUGUUCAAUGUAGGAGGGUUGAUAGUCGGAUCACUCAGGGUUAACAUCACCCGGACGAUUAGACUACACGAUAAGGUUAUUCUCCCCACCCCAGGAUCAUUCUCCUCUCUUAAUAUACAUCUCAUGAUAUACA